rnacentral:rRNA from 1 species
AAGCGCCGGCUAACUACGUGCCAGCAGCCGCGGUAAUACGUAGGGCGCGAGCGUUGUCCGGAAUUAUUGGGCGUAAAGAGCUUGUAGGCGGUUUGUCGCGUCUGCUGUGAAAGGCCGGGGCUUAACUCCGUGUAUUGCAGUGGGUACGGGCAGACUAGAGUGCAGUAGGGGAGACUGGAAUUCCUGGUGUAGCGGUGGAAUGCGCAGAUAUCAGGAGGAACACCGAUGGCGAAGGCAGGUCUCUGGGCUGUAACUGACGCUGAGGAGCGAAAGCAUGGGGAGCGAACAGGAUUAGAUACCCUGGUAGUCCAUGCCGUAAACGUUGGGCACUAGGUGUGGGGACCAUUCCACGGUUUCCGCGCCGCAGCUAACGCAUUAAGUGCCCCGCCUGGGGAGUACGGCCGCAAGGCUAAAACUCAAAGGAAUUGACG